UGUUAAGCACUUACUAUGCAAAGCACUGUUCUAAGCGCUGGAAUAGAUACAAGUUGAUCAGUUCGUCCCAUGUGAGGCUCACAGUCAUAAUCUCUAUUCUACAGAUGAGGUAACUGAGGAAUAGAGAAGUUAAGUGACUUGCCCAAAGUCACACAGCUGAAGAGUAGCAGAGCCGGAAUCGGAACCCACGACCUCCGACUCCCAAGCCCGCGUUCUUUCCGCUAAGCCUCGCUGGAUGAGAGGAGGCCAGGAGCCGUGAGCAGGCUUGGAGUGAAGAGACCCUUAGGCUUGGGCCGGAAGUCCCGAUUUGAUAAUAAUAAUUACGGACAAGAGUGCUGCAACUUGAUCUAUCCAGAAGCACCGUGGUCUAGUGGUUAGAGCACGGGCCUGGGAGUCAGUAGGACCUGGCUUCUAUUCCCGGCUCCACCACUGUCUGCUGUGUGACCUGGGGUGAGUCACUUCACUUCUCUCUGCCUCAGUUGCCUCAUCUGUAAAAUAGGGCUUAAGACUGCGAGCGCCAUGUGGAACGUGGACUGUGUCCGG
rnacentral:lncRNA from 1 species